rnacentral:rRNA from 1 species
AUUGAACGCUGGCGGCAUGCCUUACACAUGCAAGUCGAACGGCAGCGGACCUUCGGGUGCCGGCGAGUGGCGAACGGGUGAGUAAUAUAUCGGAACGUACCUUUCAGUGGGGGAGUAACGUAGCGAAAGUUACGCUAAUACCGCAUAUUCUGUGAGCAGGAAAGCAGGGGGAUCGCAAGACCUUGCGCUGAUUGAGCGGCCGAUAUCAGAUUAGCUAGUUGGUGAGGUAAAGGCUCACCAAGGCGACGAUCUGUAGCGGGUCUGAGAGGAUGAUCCGCCACACUGGAACUGAGACACGGUCCAGACUCCUACGGGAGGCAGCAGUGGGGGAAUUUUGGACAAUGGGCGCAAGCCUGAUCCAGCCAUGCCGCGUGAGUGAAGAAGGCCU